AGGUUUUGCCUUACAGAGUAUCGACUCUUGGGUCAAAAAAUGGAAUAAUAAUACGCAAUGGAAGUUGUGUUGAACUCAAACACUUCACGUUUAACGUCAACAUUAAAAACUUAACAAUUACAGAACAGGAUGAUGUUUAUUUUAAUCGAAACAGAAGUCUUGUUGUCCAUAAUACCGGCCUGUAUUACGUAUACCUAAGUGUGCUGUACCAAACAGACACUCCCAAAACAUCCAGCUGGUCAAGUGACAAGAGAUGGUUUACCUACGUCAGCCGAGCCAGGUAUAGAAACGACCACGGCCAGACGCUGCUCAGGACUGUAAACACGCUGGUCAAUAGGUGCUCACCUUAUGACGAGUCACAGUACACAGGUGGGGUCUUCUACCUGCAGGCAGGUGAUAGACUACAGGUGUCGACCUGGGGACCAGACAGUUACUUGAACUACAGUGGAGGCGGGGACUUGGGGUUGUUUUUGUUGCACAAAAUGGAAG